rnacentral:misc_RNA from 1 species
UCCGGUUUGUCACCGGCAGUCCCAUUAGAGUGCCCAACUGAAUGUGGCAACUAAUGGCAAGGGUUGCGCUCGUUGCGGGACUUAACCCAACAUCUCACGACACGAGCUGACGACAGCCAUGCAGCACCUGUGUCCAGGUUCCCUUUCGGGCACCCCUCCAUCUCUGGAGGGUUCCUGGCAUGUCAAGGGUAGGUAAGGUUUUUCGCGUUGCAUCGAAUUAAUCCACAUAAUCCACCGCUUGUGCGGGUCCCCGUCAAUUCCUUUGAGUUUUAACCUUGCGGCCGUACUCCCCAGGCGGUCAACUUCACGCGUUAGCUUCGUUACCAAGGAAUUGCUUCCCCGACAACCAGUUGACAUAGUUUAGGGCGUGGACUAC